rnacentral:rRNA from 1 species
AUUGAACGCUGGCGGCAGGCCUAACACAUGCAAGUCGAACGAGCGGCGGACGGGUGAGUAAUGUCUGGGAAACUGCCUGAUGGAGGGGGAUAACUACUGGAAACGGUAGCUAAUACCGCAUACCAUCAGAUGUACCCAGAUGGGAUUAGCUAGUAGGUGGGGUAAUGGCUCACCAAGGCGACGAUCCCUAGCUGGUCUGAGAGGAUGACCAGCCACACUGGAACUGAGACACGGUCCAGACUCCUACGGGAGGCAGCAGUGGGGAAUAUUGCACAAUGGGCGCAAGCCUGAUGCAGCCAUGCCGCGUGGAUGAAGAAGGCCUUCGGGUUGUAAAGCACUUUCAGCGAGGAGGCGUUACCCGCAGAAGAAGCACCGGCUAACUCCGUGCCAGCAGCCGCGGUAAUAC